GCCGGGCGUGGUGGCGCACACCUGUCAUCCCAGCUCUCGGGAGGCUGAGACAGGAGGAUCGCUGUGAGUUCGAGACCAGCCUGGGCUACGUAGUGAGUUCCAGGUCAGUCUCAACUACAUAAAACCAAAAAAAGAAAAAAAAAGAAAAGAGACAAUUGGUAAAAUGCAAUUUUUGUUUUUUUGUGACAGGGUCUCGCUAUGUAGUUGAGACUGACCUGGAACUCACUGUGUAGCCCAGGCUGGUCUCGAACUCACAAGAUCCUCCUGC
rnacentral:SRP_RNA from 1 species